rnacentral:rRNA from 1 species
AACGAACGCUGGCGGCAGGCUUAACACAUGCAAGUCGAACGAUCUCUUCGGAGGUAGUGGCAGACGGGUGAGUAACACGUGGGAACGUACCUUUCAGUCAGGAAUAACUCAUGGAAACGUGAGCUAAUACCCGAUACGCCCUUUUGGGGAAAGAUUUAUCGCUGAAAGAUCGGCCCGCGUCUGAUUAGCUUGUUGGUGGGGUAAUGGCCUACCAAGGCGACGAUCAGUAGCUGGUCUGAGAGGAUGAUCAGCCACACUGGGACUGAGACACGGCCCAGACUCCUACGGGAGGCAGCAGUGGGGAAUAUUGGACAAUGGGCGCAAGCCUGAUCCAGCCAUGCCGCGUGAGUGAUGACGGCCUUAGGGUUGUAAGGCUCUUUCGACGGUGACGAUAAUGACGGUACCCGUAGAAGAAGCCCCGGCUAACUUCGUGCCAGCCGCCGCCGUAA